AGAAUAAAUAAGGGAUAGUGGAUCAUAGUUACCUUGAGAAUGGCUUGAAUGAUUACGAGACCAGUAUUUUUUGGAGGCAAAUAGAAGCCUGGUAGUUAAAUUACCGUAUUGAGGGGUCAGAUCUUCUUCCCAGGCCCGUACGCAUCUUUGCAUAAAAGGAUAUAUACUAUCAUACAACAUUGUUUGAACAAACUUUUUCAUCCCUUCCACUUCUUCUACAGGCAGUAAAGGAUAAAGAGGCAAACACGAUUGUUCGGAUUCGGCCUGAACUUCUAAUGAUGAUCUCCAUUCUGGAAUUGGAAAUUUUCUUAAAUUUUUAGUCACAAAUGUUAUCGGUUUGGCAUCAUCACUAGAUGAACAAAAGCUUUCGCUUUCCAUCGAAUCUCUAGGUGCAUUUUUUAAUGACUGUAUAGAAGACGUAUCAUAUCUGUCAGUAUCUAAAGGUUUCGC